ensembl:lncRNA
CAGGGAAGAGGUCAGUUUCCAGUAGACAGGGAGGAGGUCAGGGGGAGUAGACAGGGAGGAGGUCAGUGUCCAGUAGACAGGGAAGAGGUCAGGGGCAGGGUACAAUAGACAGGGAAGAGGUCAGGGGGCAGGGUACCGUAGACAGGGACGAGGUCAGGGUCCAGUAGACAGGGAAGAGGUCAGGGGCAGGGUACAGUAGACAGGGAAGAGGUCAGGGGGCAGGGUACAGUAGACAGGGAAGAGGUCAGUGUCCAGUAGACAGGGAAGAGGUCAGGGUACAGUAGACAGGGAAGAGGUCAGGGUCCAGU